rnacentral:miRNA from 1 species
AAAUCCAGAUGUAUGGCUUCAUAUACAUCAGAUCUCCUCAGAAUCCUUCAAUGAAGGCCAGGAAUCUGCAUUUUAGUAAGUUCCCCGGACUAAUUCUUAAGCAU